rnacentral:rRNA from 1 species
GAUGAACGCUAGCGGCAGGCUUAACACAUGCAAGUCGAGGGGUAUAGUUCUUCGGAGCUAGAGACCGGCGCACGGGUGCGUAACGCGUAUGCAAUCUACCUUUUGCAGAGGGAUAGCCCAGAGAAAUUUGGAUUAAUACCUCAUGGUAUGUGAGAAUGGCAUCAUUUUCACAUUAAAGUCACAACGGCAAAAGAUGAGCAUGCGUCCCAUUAGCUAGUUGGUAAGGUAACGGCUUACCAAGGCAACAAUGGGUAGGGGUCCUGAGAGGGAGAUCCCCCACACUGGUACUGAGACACGGACCAGACUCCUACGGGAGGCAGCAGUGAGGAAUAUUGGACAAUGGGCGCAAGCCUGAUCCAGCCAUGCCGCGUGCAGGAUGACGGUCCUAUGGAUUGUAAACUGCUUUUGUACAGGAAGAAACACUGGUUCGUGAACCAGCUUGACGGUACUGUAAGAAUAAGGAUCGGCUAACUCUGUGCCAGCCGCCGCAGUAAGAC